GCCCCGCCCCGCCGCGCCCCACAGGAGCCUCCUCCUCCCGCCGGCGCGGCGCCUGUCCCCUGGUCCCGGCGUCCCCGCUCGGUGCCACCGAAGGAUCUAGGGGCUUGGGCCGGGGAGGGGGCGGAGGGGGGAGUGGAGGCGCGAUACGAGCCCGUGGGAGCCUCCCCAACCCCGCAGUCCCAGCGGCAAACUGUGCUUGGUCGGACGGAUGCCCGCGCGGAGGGUGGCCACGGGAGUGCCUCCGCCCAUGACAGCAGUGUACAGGAAGCUGACCCGGAGCUGGGAAGCCGGGAGAAGGCACGUGGGGUUCCACCUAGAUAAACCCCAAAAAGACAGCUCCAGUGAGGGCCCAGCAAACCUGAGACCAGAUCCAUUUCUAGAGACUUCCUGUUGAAGAACAAGACAGAGGAGAAUUCCUGGGUUGAGUCCCUCUGAAAAAUCAACAGG